AAGUCUGAACGGAGCAACGCCGCGUGAGUGAUGAAGGCUUUCGGGUCGUAAACUCUGUUGUUAGGGAAGAACAAGUACAAGAGUAACUGCUCGUACCUUGACGGUACCUAACCAGAAAGCCACGGCUAACUACGUGCCAGCAGCCGCGGUAAUACGUAGGUGGCAAGCGUUAUCCGGAAUUAUUGGGCGUAAAGCGCGCGCAGGCGGUUUCUUAAGUCUGAUGUGAAAGCCCACGGCUCAACCGUGGAGGGUCAUUGGAAACUGGGGAACUUGAGUGCAGAAGAGAAAAGCGGAAUUCCACGUGUAGCGGUGAAAUGCGUAGAGAUGUGGAGGAACACCAGUGGCGAAGGCGGCUUUUUGGUCUGUAACUGACGCUGAGGCGCGAAAGCGUGGGGAGCAAACAGGAUUAGAUACCCCGGGUAGU
rnacentral:rRNA from 1 species